UUCACGGCUCAUGUGGCAGUUAAAGAAUUUCUGCUUGCAUGCGGUCUUUUUAUUCCAGCAGAUAGCCCGGAUCUUCCAGAUAGACUCCAAUAUGAAGGUAUUGAAUACCUUGCAAUUCCCUUUUGUCAUACCCCUGAUUUUCAUCAUCUGGUUACAGUAAGUAUUGUCAUUGAAGGCUAAGCUUUUUGAGUCCACAUGUUGCCGCUGAAACUUCUCUGCUGCAGACUCUGAUGAGACCAGCCCCACCACUACCAUUGCCAGCAGUGGGAAGAGCAGGGCGGCUCUGUCCAGGGCCAUUACGGCCUCAUUCACCAAAGGGAGCCUACCCAGGAAAGGGGCAGAGACAGAUGAAGGACAUCAUGACAAGGUUCCAAGCCUCUCUGUCUUCCUGAAAUUCUGAGACAUCUUGACUGUCCUUGGGCAGCUUCACUGGGUUUGACAGCUGAGAAAGAGACUAUUUAGGACUAGUUGACUAUGACUGAUUCCUGGAAAUGAGUAGUGGCCUCCUUAUGUGAUAAAUGGAAGCUGGGGUAAUGAAGCAGCUCUAUUCAAAGUGAUCAGUCACUGUAGCAUCUGAAUAGACCAAAAGGCAUAAGACAGAAGAUCUACAACUAAUUUGGGCCUGAUAUUAGCAUUUAUUUGGCAUGGAUGCAAGGGGAAGUUGGAAGAUGAACUGAGCCUUCCUUCUUGAAGGGGGUCUGGACUCUCCUUUGCUUCCCACCCCCUACCAAGUGGUCACAGAUAUCUGAGGUGACUUUCUUGCAUGUGUCUGUGAAUGAGAAAAGUCCUUUUAAGUAAAUUUUAGUAAGAGAACUUGCAUAAAGGAUAUUUCAAGAUUCUCAUGUCUGAAGGAGACAAGGAAAAGACUGCCUUCAUCUGUCCAGUUGACUUUCACCAGUUUGAGCAAAUACUGCAAAGCAUCUUGGGAUACCAGUCACUUUCCAACAGCUAAUGGAGAAAAAUAUUGGGCACAUAAAUUAUCUGGAAAUGUUAGUGUACCUUGAUGACAUAAUUAUCUUUAGUAUGUCACUAGAGGAACAUGAGGAGAGACUAAUGAAUGUGUUAGAUUAGCUGGAGAAAGUUUAUCUAAAGUUGUCAAUUGACAAAUGCCAAUUCUUAAACAUUUCUAUGAUUAGGUCAAGAAGUACUUAAAUUGUAGCCUUGAGCUUAGAUGUAAGCUUUUGGUUUUACUGUGUACUUGUUCUAAUGGGUACAUCCUUGAUUGCCCUGUCUUGGCACUUUAGGCAAAAAGAUCCAGUCCCCCCUUUGUACUAUCAACCACCCUAAACUGUGAACUAUGUCCUCAUCUCAAGCCCAAACUGGCUUUGCUCUAGGCCCACACAGAUCAGACCACUUCUGACUGCCCUGGGCUGGGAAUUCAGACUUCUCCACAGGUUUGAAAUUUCUUACCUUCCAUCUUGGACUUAAUACUGUAUAUUGGCUCCAAGGCAGAAGAGUGGUAAGGGCUAGGCAAUGGGGGUCAAGUGACUUGCCCAGGGUCACACAGCUGGGACAUGUCUGAGGCUAGAUUUGAACCUAGGACCUCCCAUCUCUAGGUCUAGCUCUCAAUCCACUGAGCUACCCAGCUGCCCCCUACAGGUUUGAAAUUUCAAGGGGUGUGGGUUGGCUUGGACCACUAUUUGCCCAGACAGCAUCUCAGAGUCUGAAUGUUAGCUUGGUCUUAGGUUCUAAACCUGGAACAGCAGAUAUGGGGUGGGGGAAUGUGUGACUUGCUCUUCACU